UGGUAGCUCAGUUGGAUAGAGCAACAGCCUUCUAAGCUGUGGGUCCCGGGUUCGAAUCCCGGC
rnacentral:tRNA from 1 species